AGGAUUCAAAGGUCAAGGAGGCGAUUGAGGAGAUUGCAGGGUUUUCAGUGAUGGUCAGGGUGUUGGGAUCCUAUGCUGCUGAUACUAAGAUCUAUGAUCUUUAUUAGCUUGCUCUAGGAUGUUUGAUGCAGUCAAGGACGGGCUUGUAUCUAUAUGUGAAUUAGAUUUAUAGCUUAGGCAAAUAUUGGUUGGUCUGAGUAUAUGAUUAAUAAGGUAAUCCGAAAUCUUAUUG
rnacentral:misc_RNA from 1 species